rnacentral:rRNA from 1 species
GAUGAACGCUGGCGGCGUGCCUAAUACAUGCAAGUCGAGCGAAUGGAUUAAGAGCUUGCUCUUGUGAAGUUAGCGGCGGACGGGUGAGUAACACGUGGGUAACCUGCCCAUAAGACUGGGAUAACUCCGGGAAACCGGGGCUAAUACCGGAUAACAUUUUGAACCGCAUGGUUCGAAAUUGAAAGGCGGCUUCGGCUGUCACUUAUGGAUGGACCCGCGUCGCAUUAGCUAGUUGGUGAGGUAACGGCUCACCAAGGCAACGAGGCGUAGCCGCCCUGGGAGGGUGAACGGCCACACUGGGACUGAGACACGGCCGAGACUCCUACGGGAGGGAGCAGUAGGGAAUCUUCCGCAAUGGACGAAAGUCUGACGGAGCAACGCCGCGUGAGUGAUGAAGGCUUUCGUGUCGUAAAACUCUGUUGUUAGGGAGAACAAGUGCUAGUUGAAUAAGCUGGCACCUUGACGGUACCUAACCAGAAAGCCACGGCUAACUACGUGCCAGCCGCCGCCGUAA